GGGCCCGCACAAGCGGUGGAGUAUGUGGUUUAAUUCGAUGCAACACGAAGAACCUUACCAGGGUUUGAAAUCAUUUCAAAACCCUUGAAAGAGGACCUCCUUCGGGAUGAAAUGACAGGUGGUGCAUGGCUGUCGUCAGCUCGUGUUGUGAAAUGUCGAGUUAAGUCUCGUAACGAGCGCAACCCAGUCUCUUGUUGCUCACUGAGUGCUUAAGAGAGACUGCCGACCAACAUCGGAGGAAGGUGUGGAUGAUGUCAAGUCAGAUGCCCCUUACAUCCUGGGCUACACACGUACUACAAUGGUAAGGACAAUGGAGCUGCGAUCCUGCGAAGGCUAGCC
rnacentral:rRNA from 1 species